rnacentral:rRNA from 1 species
AUUUUAUUUAGACAUUGUUAUUUGAAUUUUUUGUUUAUAAAGUUUAUUAUUAUUUUCUAAAUUUGGUUGGGGUGACUUUAAAAUUUUUUAAACUUUUAUUUUUUUUAUUUCAAAAAUUUUUGAUUUGUUUGAUCCAUUUUUUAUGAUUAAUAGAUUAAAU